rnacentral:rRNA from 1 species
AUUGAACGCUGGCGGCAGGCCUAACACAUGCAAGUCGAGCGAGUGGCGGACGGGUGAGUAAUGUCUGGGAAACUGCCCGAUGGAGGGGGAUAACUACUGGAAACGGUAGCUAAUACCGCAUACUAUCGGAUGAACCCAUAUGGGAUUAGCUCGUAGGUGGGGUAAAGGCUCACCUAGGCGACGAUCCCUAGCUGGUCUGAGAGGAUGACCAGCCACACUGGAACUGAGACACGGCCCAGACUCCUACGGGAGGCAGCAGUGGGGAAUAUUGCACAAGGGGCGCAAGCCUGAUGCAGCCAUGCCGCGUGUAUGAAGAAGGCCUUAGGGUUGUAAAGUACUUUCAGCGGGGAGGCGUUACCCGCAGAAGAAGCACCGGCUAACUCCGUGCCAGCAGCCGCGGUAAUUC